CCUGCGGGAGGCAGCAGUGGGGAAUAUUGGACAAUGGGCGAAAGCCUGAUCCAGCCAUGCCGCGUGUGUGAAGAAGGCCGUCGGGUUGUAAAGCACUUUCAGUGGGGAAGAAAGCCUUGGGGCUAAUACCCUCGAGGAAGGACAUCACCCACAGAAGAAGCACCGGCUAACUCCGUGCCAGCAGCCGCGGUAAUACGGAGGGUGCGAGCGUUAAUCGGAAUUACUGGGCGUAAAGCGCGCGUAGGCGGUCUGAUAAGCCGGUUGUGAAAGCCCCGGGCUCAACCUGGGAACGGCAUCCGGAACUGUCAGGCUAGAGUGCAGGAGAGGAAGGUAGAAUUCCCGGUGUAGCGGUGAAAUGCGUAGAGAUCGGGAGGAAUACCAGUGGCGAAGGCGGCCUUCUGGACUGACACUGACGCUGAGGUGCGAAAGCGUGGGUAGCAAACAGGAUUAGAUACCCCAGUAGUC
rnacentral:rRNA from 1 species